rnacentral:rRNA from 1 species
CUACGGGGCGCAGCAGUGAGGAAUCUUCCGCAAUGGGGGGAACCCUGAUGCAGCAACGCCGCGUGGAGGAUGACGCAUUUCGGUGUGUAAACUCCUUUUAUAUGUCAAGAAAAUGACGGAAGCAUAUGAAUAAGCACCGGCUAACUCCGUGCCAGCAGCCGCGGUAAUACGGAGGGUGCAAGCGUUACUCGGAAUCACUGGGCGUAAAGGACGCGUAGGCGGGUUGGAAAGUCAGGUGUGAAAUCCUACAGCUUAACUGUAGAACUGCACUUGAAACUUCUAAUCUAGAGUAUGGGAGGGGGAGAUGGAAUUAGUGGUGUAGGGGUAAAAUCCGUAGAUAUCACUAGGAAUACCUAAAGCGAAGGCGAUCUCCUGGAACAUUACUGACGCUAAGGCGUGAAAGCGUGGGGAGCAAACAGGAUUAGAUACCCUAGUAGUC